rnacentral:rRNA from 1 species
UACAGAGGUGGCAAGCGUUGUUCGGAAUUACUGGGCGUAAAGCGCGCGUAGGCGGCUUUGUAAGUUAGAGGUGAAAGCCCGGAGCUCAACUCCGGAACUGCCUUUAAAACUGCAUCGCUUGAAUCCAGGAGAGGUGAGUGGAAUUCCGAGUGUAGAGGUGAAAUUCGUAGAUAUUCGGAAGAACACCAGUGGCGAAGGCGGCUCACUGGAGCUGGUAUUGACGCUGAGGUGCGAAAGCGUGGGGAGCAAACAGG